CAUGGACUCAGUGCAUCUAUAUGAGAAGACAUUAAAAAAAGGAGGAGAACCAAAAUCUUUAACCAUCAUGCUGCACAGAGAAAAUGAUACUUUGGGAUUCAAUAUUAUAGGAGGACGACCCAAUCAGAACAAUCAGGAAGAAUCUUCUGCUGAGGGAAUUUAUGUGUCAAAAAUUUUGGAAAACGGACCUGCAGACAAAGCAGAAGGCCUGAAAAUUCACGACAAGAUUAUUGAGUGGUCAGAGCCAUGAUCCAGACUGGACACUUUAUGCUAGUGCCAGAUGUGUAGCAGCUCUGUCUCACUUGGAAGUUUUCAUCUCUUGCAUUCCGUUUCCUUAAUGCCUUAAUGUCUGAAUUGUCCAGGUGUUCUAUAUGACUGUUUUUAAUGUGUUCUAGAAUGGGUUAAAUGGAAAACUGACUAUUCUGAAAUUUCAGCAACUGAAUUGGAAAUUUAUUUUCCAAUGACCAAAAAUGGUAUUAAAAUCAUAAAAGAGUUACUAGUGAAUGUAGGAAGAUUAGGCCAGCAAAAAUCUUUCCCUCUGAGGGUGUGUAAUAAUUUCAAAGAAUAUCACCUGUUUGUAUUUUUCAAAU